rnacentral:rRNA from 1 species
GACGAACGCUGGCGGCGUGCUUAACACAUGCAAGUCGAGCGGUAAGGCCCUUUCGGGGGUACACGAGCGGCGAACGGGUGAGUAACACGUGGGUGACCUGCCCUCAGCUCUGGGAUAAGCCUGGGAAACCGGGUCUAAUACUGGAUAUGACUCCAUGACGCAUGUUGUGGGGUGGAAAGCCUUGUGCGGCUGAGGAUGGGCCCGCGGCCUAUCAGCUUGUUGGUGGGGUGAUGGCCUACCAAGGCGACGACGGGUAGCCGGCCUGAGAGGGCGACCGGCCACACUGGGACUGAGACACGGCCCAGACUCCUACGGGAGGGCAGCAGUGGGGAAUCUUGCGCAAUGGGCGAAAGCCUGACGCAGCGACGCCGCGUGAGGGAUGACGGCCU